rnacentral:rRNA from 1 species
GGAGUCGGUGUAAAGGCUCUAUUGGAGCAGCUAACGCGAUAAGUACUCCGCCUGGGGACUACGUCCGCAAGGCUAAAACUCAAAGGAAUUGACGGGGACCCGCACAAGCGGUGGAUCAUGUGGUUUAAUUCGAUGCAACGCGAAGAACCUUACCUGGUCUUGACAUCCUGCGAACUUUCUAGAGAUAGAUUUGUGCCUUCGGGUCCGCAGUGACAUGUGAUGCACGGCUGUCGUCAGCUCGUGUUGUGAAAUG